rnacentral:rRNA from 1 species
AGAGCGAACGCUGGCGGCAGGCCUAACACAUGCAAGUCGAGCGCCCGUAGCAAUACGGGAGCGGCAGACGGGAUAGUAACACGUGGGAACGCGCCCUUCGGUUCGGAAUAACUCAGGGAAACUUGAGCUAAUACCGAAUACGCCCUUACGGGGAAAGAUUUAUUGCCGAAGGAACGGCCCGCGUCCGAUUAGCUAGUUGGUGAGGUAAUGGCUCACCAAGGCUACGAUCGGUAGCUGGUCUGAGAGGAUGACCAGCAUCACUGGGACUGAGACACGGCCCAGACUCCUACGGGAGGCAGCAGUGGGGAAUAUGGACAAUGGGCGCAAGCCUGAUCCAGCCAUGCCGCGUGGAUGAUGAAGGCCUUAGGGUUGUAAAGUCCUUUUAACGGGGAAGAUAAUGACGGUACCGUAGAAUAAGCCCCGGCUAACUUCGCGCCAGCAGCCGC